GACGAACGCUGGCGGCGUGCUUAACACAUGCAAGUCGAACGGAAAGGCCCCCUUGUGGGGUACUCGAGUGGCGAGCGGGUGAGUAACACGUGAGUAACCUACCCUUGACUUUGGGAUAACUUCAGGAAACUGGGGCUAAUACCGGAUAGGAGCUCCUGCUGCAUGGUGGGGGUUGGAAAGUUUCGGCGGUUGGGGAUGGACUCGCGGCUUAUCAGCUUGUUGGUGGGGUAGUGGCUCACCAAGGCUUUGACGGGUAGCCGGCCUGAGAGGGUGACCGGCCACAUUGGGACUGAGAUACGGCCCAGACUCCUACGGGAGGCAGCAGUGGGGAAUAUUGCACAAUGGGCGGAAGCCUGAUGCAGCAACGCCGCGUGCGGGAUGACGGCCUUCGGGUUGUAAACCGCUUUCGCCUGUGACGAAGCGUGAGUGACGGUAAUGGGUAAAGAAGCACCGGCUAACUACGUG
rnacentral:rRNA from 1 species